rnacentral:lncRNA from 1 species
AUCCAGUUCUAUCUGAUUCCAGAGUCAGGGUUUCACUCAGGACUGGCUUGAACCAAUACUUAGAAAGUUGCCUAAGAGUGUUUUCACCUAUCCUUAAUUGUGUUUUUGUUUAUCAUCUGUCUUCCAGAAUGUGAUUUCCAUGACAACAAUGACCUUUCUGCAUUGUUUACUCCUGUGAUCCAGAACAGUGCCUGGCACUUGUGGAAUUCCAGGAUCCCACAUGUUUGCCUCUGCCUCUGCCUGAGAGCUCCAGCUAGUGCCUGGGUUAUGUAAACUAGAGACAUAUGGCUGAGAUGGUAAUUCUCACAUAGUUCUUUUUCCCCUGGUGAUUAACAAACUUCAAAUUACCACCCACAGUUGAUCAGGAAACACUGAAAAAUGACAACCAGUUCUGGUAUUCACCCAGGGCACACCCAUCCUGCCACACUGGAAGUUAAGAUAUUGAACUUUCUGUAUGAGUUGUUUAAAGCUGCUGCCCUAAAGGACAUGAACAGACACUUCUCAGAAUAAAACAUUAAUGCGGCCAACAAACAUUAAAAAAAAGCUCAG